UCUCCGCCUAUUUAUCUCAUUUUUCAUCAAACUCGUGGCUGCAACUGAGCCCUCAUAUGACUUUUUCUCUCCCUCCCCUUGCUUCCCUACUAAUAAAAUAAUGGGGUUUUCCAAUUCAAGUUCCUAAGAUAAAGAUUUACUUGAACAACUCUAAGAAAUAACGCCAUAAAAGGCUUGAAUCUAAAGAAUCUGUUAACAAGUCCCAGAUCUGGCACCAUAUGAAGGUCGGCACUCUUUAUUCAUCUCUUUU